AUUGAACGCUGGCGGCAGGCCUAACACAUGCAAGUCGAGCGGAUGAAGUGAGCUUGCUCCUGGAUUCAGCGGCGGACGGGUGAGUAAUGCCUAGGAAUCUGCCUGGUAGUGGGGGAUAACGUCCGGAAACGGGCGCUAAUACCGCAUACGUCCUGAGGGAGAAAGUGGUGGAUCUUCGGACCUCACGCUAUCAGAUGAGCCUAGGUCGGAUUAGCUAGUUGGUGGGGUAAAGGCCUACCAAGGCGACGAUCCGUAACUGGUCUGAGAGGAUGAUCAGUCACACUGGAACUGAGACACGGUCCAGACUCCUACGGGAGGCAGCAGUGGGGAAUAUUGGACAAUGGGCGAAAGCCUGAUCCAGCCAGGCCGCGUGUGUGAAGAAGGUCUUCGGAUUGUAAAGCACUUUAAGUUGGGAGGAAGGGCAGUAAGUUAAUACCUUGCUGUUUUGACGUUACCAACAGAAUAAGCACCGGCUAACUUCGUG
rnacentral:rRNA from 1 species